UCCCAACCCCUGUGACAUACCUAUCGUUGCUUCGGCGGGAUCGCCCCGGCGCCCCUCGGGCCCGGACUCGGCGCCCGCCGGAGGACCCAAACCCUUGUAUUAUUUUGAGUAUCUUCUGAGUAAACAAGCAAAUAAAUCAAAACUUUCAACAACGGAUCUCUUGGUUCUGGCAUCGAUGAAGAACGCAGCGAAAUGCGAUAAGUAAUGUGAAUUGCAGAAUUCCGUGAAUCAUCGAAUCUUUGAACGCACAUUGCGCCCAUCAGUAUUCUGAUGGGCAUGCCUGUUCGAGCGUCAUUUCAACCCUCAAGCCCCCGGGCUUGGUGUUGGGGAUCGGCCCGCCCACUCGCGGCGCGCCGGCCCUGAAAUCUAGUGGCGGUCUCGCUUGCAGCCUCCUCUGCGUAGUAGCAACACCUCGCACCGGAACGCAGCGUGGCCACGCCGUUAAACCCCCCACUUUCUGAAGGUUGACCUCGGAUCAGGUAGGAAUACCCGCUGAACUUAAGCAUAUCAAUAAGCGGAGGAA
rnacentral:misc_RNA from 1 species